GCGAAAUGCGAUAAGUAAUGUGAAUUGCAGAAUUCCGCGAAUCAUCGAAUCUUUGAACGCACAUUGCGCCCGCUAGUAUCCUAGCGGGCAUGCCUGUCCGAGCGUCAUUUCUGCCCUCAAGACCGUUGUGUCUUGGUGUUGGGGCGCUACG
rnacentral:rRNA from 1 species